CUAGUACUCCCUCCGUUUCAUAUUAAAUGACUCAAAUUUGUCCAAAUAUGGAUGUAUCUAUGCCUAAAAAGCGUCUAGAUACAUGUAAUAGAAAGUCACUUAAUAUGGGACGGAGGGAGUAGUUA
rnacentral:pre_miRNA from 1 species